UCAUGGUAUAUUAAGGUUAAAACUUUAUUAGGUUUGGUUUUGAUCAGAGAUGAUCUACUUAUUGGUUUUCAGAGGUCUGGUAGAGAGAACUUGCUCGUAAGGUUUAACCCACGAUUUAUUUUUCAGGUUAUUAGAAGUUCCUAUCUCGAGGUUGAGGAUCCGCAGUUGGGAGACUAUCGUUCAUCUAUUCAUCUUGUUUACUAUUAAGUAGUGAUGAGCGCUGAAAAGUACUUAUCCCCAAAAUAAGCUAACUCAGCCAAAUAAGAGCAGAAAUGAAGCAAUUCUGGGAUGAAUCAAAGAAAGGAGCAUAGUAAAGCAAAAGGAAGCAAAUGGUGGAAUUUCAGCAACUUCGAUCGAUCUCAAGAAAAGUUUGAUCGAUCCAACUUCCAUCGAUCUCAGCACUUCAAGAUAGAUUCAAGCCAUGAUGUCAUUUUCAGAGAUCAUAAAAGUUCGAUCGAUCCAACAUCAUUCUCUAAUCGAUCAAACUUUCUUAUCCUUAUCCAUAUGCCGGAUCUUAUCCUGCUGUACCACCCUACCAACCACUUUUAUCCUUUUCCCAAAAACAUCUUCAAAAUAUCUCAGAUUUGUUUUUAUCCAAAAAGACGCCGCCAUUGAGGAUCGAUCCAACUUUAAUUCGAUAGAUCUCAGCCAUGUUCGAUCGAUCUCACCACAAGUUCGAUCGAUCGAACUUCCUAAAUCCCAAGAAAAAUCCAAAUUCCAGCUCAUUAAAAGUUGUCUCAUAUCCAAUCAUUAGAGGAUUAUUGGUGUACGAGCCCAGCUCAUUUGGGGUGAUUUUUGACCUACCUAUAUAAGGAAUAUGAGCCACUUUUACACAUAUACACAUACUUAGAGAAGAUAAUACUUAGUGAGGAAGCAAAGGAAAGGAGGAGGCUAGAGACACCAUUAGAGACUCUUCAUCAACCAAGGAGCAGAUUUCUUCCAUGGAGCUUGCCCUUGAGGGUUGGAGGACAUCAUCCAUGAGUGGCUAGACAUCCUCUUGGGGCUAGAGUUAGCCCUAAGCAUGCUUUCUACUUCUUGAUAUAUGUAUUUUUGAGGGGAUUUGUAUUGUGAUUCAUGUUUUGACACUUUUAUAUAUAUAGAUCUUGUUUAUUCAA